rnacentral:rRNA from 1 species
UACGGGGGGGGCAAGCGUUGUUCGGAAUUACUGGGCGUAAAGGGCUCGUAGGUGGCCAACUAAGUCAGACGUGAAAUCCCUCGGCUUAACCGGGGAACUGCGUCUGAUACUGGAUGGCUUGAGUUCGGGAGAGGGAUGCGGAAUUCCAGGUGUAGCGGUGAAAUGCGUAGAUAUCUGGAGGAACACCGGUGGCGAAGGCGGCAUCCUGGACCGACACUGACACUGAGGCGCGACAGCGUGGGGAGCAAACAGG